GAUGAACGCUGGCGGCGUGCUCAACACAUGCAAGUCGAACGAUUAAAGCCCCUCCGGGGGUGUAUAGAGUGGCGAACGGGUGAGUAACACGUGGGCAAUCUGCCCCUCACACUGGGAUAACUCGAGGAAACUCGUGCUAAUACCGGAUACUCCGGACUGACCACAUGGUCGGUUCGGGAAAGCUCCGGCGGUGAGGGAUGAGCCCGCGGCCCAUUAGCUAGUUGGUGAGGUAACGGCCCACCAAGGCAACGAUGGGUAGCCGCGCUGAGAGGGGGAUCGGCCACACUGGGACUGAGACACGGCCCAGACUCCAAGGGGAGGCAGGAGUGGGGAAUUUUGCGCAAUGGGCGAAAGCCUGGCGCAGCAACGCCGCGGGGGGGAUGAAGGCCUUCGGGUUGUAAACCGCUUUCAGCAGGGAUGAAAAUGACAGUACCUGCAGAAGAAGCCCCGGCUAACUACGUGCCAGCCGCCGCGGUAA
rnacentral:rRNA from 1 species